rnacentral:piRNA from 1 species
AUUGGGGAGAAAGUGGAGAAAGG